GACGAACGCUGGCGGCGUGCUUAACACAUGCAAGUCGAACGGAAAGGCCCUGCUUUUGUGGGGUGCUCGAGUGGCGAACGGGUGAGUAACACGUGAGUAACCUGCCCUUGACUUUGGGAUAACUUCAGGAAACUGGGGCUAAUACCGGAUAGGAGCUCCUGCUGCAUGGUGGGGGUUGGAAAGUUUCGGCGGUUGGGGAUGGACUCGCGGCUUAUCAGCUUGUUGGUGGGGUAGUGGCUUACCAAGGCUUUGACGGGUAGCCGGCCUGAGAGGGUGACCGGCCACAUUGGGACUGAGAUACGGCCCAGACUCCUACGGGAGGCAGCAGUGGGGAAUAUUGCACAAUGGGCGGAAGCCUGAUGCAGCAACGCCGCGUGCGGGAUGACGGCCUUCGGGUUGUAAACCGCUUUCGCCUGUGACGAAGCGUGAGUGACGGUAAUGGGUAAAGAAGCACCGGCUAACUACGUGCCAGCAGCCGCGGUGAUACGUAGGGUGCGAGCGUUGUCCGGAUUUAUUGGGCGUAAAGGGCUCGUAGGUGGUUGAUCGCGUCGGAAGUGUAAUCUUGGGGCUUAACCCUGAGCGUGCUUUCGAUACGGGUUGACUUGAGGAAGGUAGGGGAGAAUGGAAUUCCUGGUGGAGCGGUGGAAUGCGCAGAUAUCAGGAGGAACACCAGUGGCGAAGGCGGUUCUCUGGGCCUUUCCUGACGCUGAGGAGCGAAAGCGUGGGGAGCGAACAGGCUUAGAUACCCUGGUAGUCCACGCUGUAAACGGUGGGUACUAGGUGUGGGGUCCAUUCCACGGGUUCCGUGCCGUAGCUAACGCUUUAAGUACCCCGCCUGGGGAGUACGGCCGCAAGGCUAAAACUCAAAGGAAUUGACGGGGCCCCGCACAAGCGGCGGAGCAUGCGGAUUAAUUCGAUGCAACGCGUAGAACCUUACCUGGGUUUGACAUGGAUCGGGAGUGCUCAGAGAUGGGUGUGCCUCUUUUGGGGUCGGUUCACAGGUGGUGCAUGGCUGUCGUCAGCUCGUGUCGUGAGAUGUUGGGUUAAGUCCCGCAACGAGCGCAACCCUUGUUCACUGUUGCCAGCACGUUAUGGUGGGGACUCAGUGGAGACCGCCGGGGUCAACUCGGAGGAAGGUGGGGAUGACGUCAGGUCAUCAUGCCCCUUAUGUCCAGGGCUUCACGCAUGCUACAAUGGCUGGUACAGAGAGUGGCGAGCCUGUGAGGGUGAGCGAAUCUCGGAAAGCCGGUCUCAGUUCGGAUUGGGGUCUGCAACUCGACCUCAUGAAGUCGGAGUCGCUAGUAAUCGCAGAUCAGCAACGCUGCGGUGAAUACGUUCCCGGG
rnacentral:rRNA from 1 species